GAGAAGAGGCUAUCCAGCAUAGUCACAGGUUACCAUGGCAACUAAUUCCCAUCUUCUGAGCCCGAGACACCUGACUCGGAAGAGGGAGGCUGAGAAAAGGACAGGAGCAAUAGGACUUGUGCUGCACGAUUCUUGUGGGAGUAAGGGGAAACCUGGCAAAGGUAUUAAUGCUGCAGAUCAGAUGACGAGAAAAACAAGAAAUAGACUGAGCCCUUCAAAGCCAAAGAAAGGAAACUCCCGUGGGACCAACUGGAAAAAAGAAUUUUCUGUUUAUUUUCUUUAUGUUUUUUGUUUGUUUGUUUUGGUAUUUUGUUGCUUAUUUUUUUUAAUUAGACACACCUCAGCUCUCUAGAUUUCCUGAGCUAUUUAAGUUACAAAGCUACAUGUCAGCACCUCCUGACCCCACUCUAGUGCUAGUUCUCUGCUACCUCAACCAUCUGUUCCACACAUGAAGGGGAUCAAGAGGUGCAAACCUCCAGUUAUAUGAUAAAUAAGCCGGACAGGUGGUUGCUAGACUUCUCCUAGUGAUCAUUUUUAAUGCAUACAAAUGUCAAAUCAUUAUGUAGUAUAUCUGCAACUAACUUAAUAUUGUAAUCUACUAUAUUUCAACAACAAGCAUAAAAAUAAAAAGCUUUUUUCUAACAUCUUAGGUAGUACGAGUUAAAGAAAAGAGAGAAAACAUAUAUUCUAUAACACAAGGCCCAAACAUGACUGAGGAGCUAUCUUUCUCCAAUGAUCAAGUCAAGUACAUCCUAGAACAUUAUAAAUUGUCGACUAGGAGCAGGGUCCAUCUCGCUUAUGCCAUACCCCAGUCUCUAGCACAGUACCUAGGCUUUUAGUAUGCACUCAGCAAAUAUUUUAAGAAGGAAGAAUAUAAGGAAAAGAAGGAUGGAAGGAAGUUUCUAAGCAAAUAUCUAAAGAUGGAAUGGUUCUGGACUAAGGCAUUCUGUAAUUCUGAAGGUAGAAGGGCCCAUGAGAGACAACUGGUGUUCAGCCUUUCACCUUCACACAGGAGACUAUCUGAACCAUUCAUCAUUCUAUUUUUAAGAAUUAAUAAGACAAAAGUUUCCAUGGCUCUCUUUGCCUCCCAUUUUUUUUUUUGCCAGUAAAGUCAUGCUCACACACUGGUCUGUAACUUAUUGAAAAUUUCCAGACUACACAUCCAGGUUCACUAUUCCCACUUGAGCUAUCAAUGCGCUACUUAGGAAAUUUACCUGUAUUAGUUUAGUCUCCAGAGCAGCUAAACAACUGGUCAGUUUUCAAAAGAAAAAGAAUUCAAUCAAUCUAGAUCUAUUCCCUUCUCCCUACUUCCUUGAAUAUGUAUAGAUAAAUAUCUCUACAUAAGCUCUCUGGUUUAUUAGAGACAGGGAAAAGGUUCUUGUCAAAUUAUGAUUAGUCGAGACUCAACAAAACUAAGAAAGUUUGAUAUAUUUUGCUUUUAGGGGAGAAAGAAAAAUUAGAAUAGAAACCAUCACAAUUAAAUUACAAAAAUUGUCAAGGGCUCUCAUGCAUUCAAAUCACAUUCAGCCCAGUUUCCUAUACCUUCUACAGCUGAGGCUUUGGACAAUGGUAACAAAGGGUAUAAAUGAUCCCCCUAUGGCCCUGAAAGAGUCUUGGUGAAUCAGGAUUCAGUGAUGAUCUCAGAUAUUUUAUAUUAAUUCAAGCAAGUGGACACAGGUCCCUUGAAAAGAUUUCAAAAAUGGAGAUUGGAAUUUUAAAAAAUUCUUUAGAUACUAAGGAAAGCGUGACAUGACCCUUCAGAGAUUCAGAGUAGUUUAUGGACAGAACACCUAAUUCUUUAU
rnacentral:lncRNA from 1 species